CCUACGGGAGGCAGCAGUGGGGAAUAUUGCACAAUGGGGGCAACCCUGAUGCAGCGACGCCGCGUGAGUGAAGAAGUAUUUAGGUAUGUACAGCUCUAUCAGCAGGGAAGAAAAUGAUGGUACCUCAUUAAGAAGCCCCGGCUUACUACGUGCCAGCAGCAGCGGUAAUAACUAGGGGGCAAGCGUUAUCCGGCUUUACUGGGUGUCAAGGGAGCGUAGACGGCAGGACAAGUCUGGAGUGAAAUGCCGGGGCUUAACCCCGGAACUGCUUUGGAAACUGGGCAGCUAGAGUGCAGGAGAGGUAAGUGGAAUUCCUAGUGUAGCGGUGAAAUGCGUAGAUAUUAGGAGGAACACCAGUGGCGAAGGCGGCUUACUGGACUGUAACUGACGUUGAGGCUCGAAAGCGUGGGGAGCAAACAGGAUUAGAUACCCUUGUAGUC
rnacentral:rRNA from 1 species